rnacentral:sRNA from 1 species
UUCAAAAUUUUACAUUUACAAUACGACAAUAAUUAUUAAAAAUAUAUAAUUCACUCAACGAUUUUUGUUUUAACUUUUAAAAUAUAAGAAGAAACGAGAGAACAAACCAAGACUUGGAUUCUAAAUUAAAUUUUUAGUUUUAAUUGGGAGUCAAAUAAUCUAUUUCAAUUUGGAAAACCUAUAAAUGAGCUACU